rnacentral:rRNA from 1 species
CCAGCUGGCUGGUUCCAUGAGGUGACUUCUGCCCAGUGCUCUGAUUGUCACUGCGAAGAGAUUCAGCCAAGCGCGGGUAAACGGCGGGAGUAACUAUGACUCUCUUAAGGUAGCCAAAUGCCUCGUCAACCAAUUAUUGACGCGCAUGAAUGGAUCAACGAGAUUCCUGCUGUCCCUAGGUGCUGUCCGGUGAACCAACAGCCAAGGGAACGGGCUUGGAUGUGUUAGCGGGGAAAGAAGACCCUGUUGAGUUUGACUCUAGUUUGAUGCUGUGCAACAACAUGGAGGGUGUAGCAUAGGUGGGAGGAAAGUGCCAUGAUGAAUUCACUUGAAUGUGUAUCCAGAACACUAGACCUCUGGCUUAGAGAAGUAAGCCAAGUCACGUGUGAAAGGAGUCAGUCUCCAUUGGUGCAAUCCAGCAGUGAAAUACCACUACCUUCACCGUUGUUUUACUCACUGAGUGACUUGGGAACAGCAGCCAUUGGACAUCAAGUCCUGCAUACCUGUGAGACUUGUGGCUAUUACCUGCUUCGUGAUUCAAGUACUGUCUAUCACUCGUGGUGACAGUAUGACUCUGUAUGGUUUUCAUACCAUGUCUGUUAGUUCGGAGCCUUGGGACAUUGAUCAGUUGGGGAGUUUGGCUGGGGCGGCACGCCUGUUACAAGACAACGCAGGCGUCCUGAAGCAAUGCUCAGAUGGGAGAGAAACCUUGCAUGGAGGAGCAGGCCAAAGGUGCUGCUGAUGCUGCAGCUUCCAGUACAAGCUCGAAAUGUGUAAACAUGGCCUUGCGAUCCUUUGGUCAAGUGUACGAGUUCGGGAUAUUGAAGCCAGAGGUGUCAGAAAAAUUACCACAGGGAUAACUGGCUUGUGGCUGCCAAGCGUUCAAAGCGACGUCGCUUUUUGAUCCUUCGAUGUCGGCUCUUCCUAGCUUCCCACCCGCAGCCGAGUGGAAGAGUUGGAUUGUUCACCCACCAACAGGGAACGUGAGCUGGGUUUA